UUUUUUUAAGAGAUGAGUCGCACUCUGUCACCAGGCUGGAGUGCAAUGGCGCAAUCUCGGCUCACUGCACCUCCGCCUCCCGGGUUCAAGUGAUUCUCCUGUUUCAGCCUCCUGAGUAGCUGGGAUUAUAGAUGCUCACGACCACGCCUGUCUAAUUUUUGUAUUUCUAGUAGAUACGGGGUUUCACUAUAGAUCCGCCUGCCUUGGCCACCCAAAGUGCUGGGAUCACAGGCGUGAGCCACCGCGCCUGGCCAACAUUUGUGCUUCCCUUAUAUGGUUCUGUGGCUAAAGAUCCCUCCCUCUCCACUUCAGAUUCUGACUUCCUCCUUCAUCUAGCCAGACUCAGGGUUAAUCCUUUGUUUCCUGCUCUCCCAUUUCUCUUUAUUCCCUGUCUUUCAUGCUUGCUUCACCUUCCAACUCUGAGGAAACUCUGGUUUCUGUUUUACCUCUGGAUUCCUGUAGAUCAGGAAGAGGGUGGUUGGGCAGGGGCCAAUGGCUCCUUUGUUUCCCCUGGAGAUAGGUGUAGCUCUGCCAGUAGUACUCAGAGGCUUCUCUGCAGUUCUAUCUCCUCAAGCUGUCCCGCAGGACAGCUUCAAACUCUCCUGCAAACUCAUGCAUCCCACUGCCCCCAACUCUUGGGAACAGAAUUUGACACCCUGCAAGCCCAGGCCUGUGCUUCACAUACUUUUGGAAAGUAGAAGAAAUGAUCGUGAAGGUCAGAGAGGUUGGAAAUGGUGACCAAGUCUGACAAGCUGAUGAUGAACCUAAGCAAAGCUGGAGGAAACACUAAGCCAGAGGCAGCAAAUCAGGGGCCCAUAGGCCAAACCAGCUUGCAGACAUUUAGAAACCCAUAUUUCCGGCUGGGUGCGGUGGCUCACACCUGUAAUCUCAGCACUUUGAGAGUCUGAGGCAGGCAAAUCACCUGAGGUCAGGAGUUAGAGAUCAGCCUGACCAACACGGCGAAACCCC
rnacentral:lncRNA from 10 species